rnacentral:lncRNA from 1 species
CACAAUCCAUUCAAGCCUAACUACCCACCUAAACACCACCCAAAUGACAUUACAGGCCCAAACGGCCCAAACCCAAAUGACAUUACAGGCCCAAACGGCCCAAACCCAAACCAACCAUGGCCCAAACUUAAAACAAUUUCAGCAAAAAUAAAAAAAAACCUAACCCUAGGGCGCCGCAUGCUAGGACCUGUUGCCACCGCCCUUGUCCCAUCACCGCACGUCCCAUCUGCACCGGCGCCGUGCACCUGCUCCAUCUGCAAAAGGAGAGAAAACACGCAAAAGCAGAAAGCAAGAAAAUGAGAGCAAAAAUAGAAACAAAAUAUUGUAAAAAUCGGCUAUAAAGAGCCGAAUGCUAACAUUGUAA